UUCUUUUUUUUGGUAAAAGUCGUAUUUACAACAUGGUAAAUUCCCUAAAAAAAAACUUCUGAUUAAAAGUGGUUGAGUGCCAUAAACAUAACACAUGUUCACUAUACAAGUGUGGGAGAUUUCAAAAACAGCUACAAAUUCUUCCUUCCUUUACGUAUACUCAGGCCUUUACAAAUGUGAGUGUUGCAGCUCUUCCCAUCAAAAUAUAGAGUCGCUCUUCCUCAACCAUGAAUUUGGCAGAUGUUGUGACCUGUUUGAACAACGCAAUGAGGUAGAAAUGACACUGUGCUGGUUGCCAGCCUGCGCCUCAGCGGCUGUCUGCUCUUCUGCUGUUCCUCUGAGAGCCCUGCUGCACCAGUGAGAACGAUUCCAGGCUAACAUACUGAAGAACGCAGUUCAAGUGAAGGAGACAGUGUUGUCACAGCCAAGGCACAAACACAGGGGAGCAAGCAAGACCCCCUCCCUCAGACAACCUGCAGUUGACCACAGAUGCAUGAGAAAGCUCCAUCAAACAUGCAACUCGGUUAUGCCAGAAGAACAACUCCACCAACUUGCAAACCUUAUCUGCUUAAUGUUACUCUGUCAUAUCUGAGACCAUGCUGUGCCAAUGAAUCACACAUUGUUAAAGCUAAAAGGAACUUUUAAGCCAGAUUCUUUCCAUUUCCACAACAAUUACCUUGGCUCAGAUACUAUCAACUCUACCCAGAACUUCUACAGUCUCUUGUGAGUACAUAUUUG